rnacentral:rRNA from 1 species
GAUGAACGCUGGCGGCGUGCCUAAUACAUGCAAGUCGAGCGAACAGAUGAGAAGCUUGCUUCUCUGAUGUUAGUGGCGGACGGGUGAGUAACACGUGGGUAACCUACCUAUAAGACUGGGAGAACUCCGGGAAACCGGGGCUAAUACCGGAUAAGAUUUUGAAUCGCCUGGUUGAAUAGGGAAGGACGGUUUCGGAUGUCACAUAUAGAUGGACCCGCUCCGUAUUAGCUAGUUGGUAAGGUAACGGCUUACCAAGGCGACGAUACGUAGCCGCCCUGAGAGGGUGAUCGGCCACACUGGAACUGAGACACGGUCCAGACUCCUACGGGAGGCAGCAGUAGGGAAUCUUCCGCAAUGGGCGAAAGCCUGACGGAGCAACGCCGCGUGAGUGAUGAAGGUCUUCGGAUCGUAAAACUCUGUUGUUAGGGAAGAACAAAUUUGUUAGUAACUGAACAAGUCUUGACGGUACCUAACCAGAAAGCCACGGCUAACUACGUGCCAGCAGCCGCGGUAA